UACAGAGGUCCCAAGCGUUGUUCGGAUUCACUGGGCGUAAAGGGUGCGUAGGUGGUGAGGUAAGUCGGAUGUGAAAGCUCAGAGCUCAACUCCGAAAUGGCAUUGGAAACUACCUUGCUCGAGGGUUGGAGGGGGGACUGGAAUGCUUGGUGUAGCAGUGAAAUGCGUAGAUAUCAAGCGGAACACCAGUGGCGAAGGCGAGUCCCUGGACAACUCCUGACACUGAGGCACGAAAGCUAGGGGAGCAAACAGG
rnacentral:rRNA from 1 species